CCCCCAACAGGCGAGAAGCAGCCGCGUCCACAUGGCUUCAGGUGUUCACAUGGCAGUAAACGGGCCCCUGCUCUCCUGGGCGCCCCAGCGCGGCGCCCUCCCGCCCACAUCCCGGCCCAGCCCCGCUGGCCUCGCCUCCAGCCCGUAGCCAAGAGGCGAGCGCGGCCGGUGCCCCCGGGGCUGCCAGGGGCCCCGAAGCAGGCGGCGCUGACUCCCGGACGCCGCCCGCUCACACCCGCCGCCUUUGCACCCAAGGCCUCGCGCGACCAGCAGGUCACUGAUUCUACUACCAUCUGUCAGCGUGGAUUGAUUGAGGAGACUGGCCCUGCUCGGCAGAUCAGUGACUUGUGCGAAGGUCCCACAGAAACUUCUGCUCUCCAGGUUUGCCCCUCCACUCUGCCCUCCAGGAUAGAAGUGUGGCAUCCUAAUCUGGGAUGCAUCCAUCUCUCCCCCUGGACUGUGAGCAUAUGCAGGGCAGAGACACCUCUGCUUCUCUUGGGUCUCCGGCAUCCUGUGCAGGAUGGGGCCACUGAGGUGCAAAGAGUUUAACUUAUCCCAAGUCACACAGUUUGGAAGAGGCUGAGCUGGUAUUUGAACCCAGGUUUUCAGAGGCUGCACUCUUAACCACCAAGCUUCCCAGCACUCAGCAAACACUGGAAAGACAGAGAUGGACCUAGACAGUCAGUAGGACCAAAAGUCUGCAGGCCGAUAGGGAAAGAAUGUAAGAGGACGGCAUGGGCAGCGCCAGCCCCUCCAGCAGUCAUAUAUUAAGCCCUGGACACUGGGCAGCUCGGGCAGGUCGGGGGGCCUCAGACUCUCGGACCCCAUGCCUGGAAGACCACGGUCUGCCCAACAAGCAGCAGCUGCUGUGAAUCGACUUACACAUCUUCCCCACAGGUGAGCAGAGAGCUAACACCUGAGGAUAGGCCAAGAAACGGGAAGCCCGUGCAACCUGAGCGCACAGAUCACCCCCACCUGCCCGGCACUCACUGUCCCCAGUGGCUGGACUCUCAUCGGGCCAGUCACUGAGCUGGCGCCAGCCUGGUCUCACCAGUGUGUGUCUUUAAAUCAUCCAAUUUCUUCAGCUGUAAAUUGGGCUGGGAGGGGCCAGGUGAGCUGCCUGCCUCAGGGGAGUCGGCGCCCUUACCUGAGUGAUCCCAUUCACUCCUCACAACAAACCCAUGAGGCAGGGAUUGUCAUCUUCAUUGUACAGAGCAGGAAAUGGGUGCACACAGAGGUUAAGAGACUUGCCCAGGUCACACAGCUAGGAAGAGGCUGUGAUUUGAACUCAGUCUUCUGGCUCCAAAGCCCCCACAGAGUCACUCAGGGCACUACAAAGAGUUAACCUGAAUAUGAAAUGAUCUAAGAGUCGCAGUGACAAAGGCAUGCUCUAAGCGCUUUUCCUGCAGUAACUUGCUUAAUCCUUACAACAACCCUAUAAAGUGGGUACUGUUCUCGCCUCAUUUUGCAGAUGAGGAAACUGAGGCACAGAGCAGCUCGGAGGGGGCAGAGCUGAAUCUGACAGGCUACAGGGCCCCUGCGUUGCUUUGUUAUAAGAUGACAAUAAGGAAGUUCCUUUCCUUUGGGAUUAUUUCUGCCUGAAAGCUCAAGACUUUUAGCCACAUCAUUGUCUGGGCUCCACGGGAAGGCAGUGCCACAUGCUGAGGCAUGCUGGGAAAAGACUUUGUUCCAUCCUGUUUUGUUGACAUGCUCUUCAUUUUUAAGCCUGAAACCGAAGCUUCCUGCUAAGAAUUCAAACCAUGGAGAAAAACGCAGCCAUGAUAACGGCCACUACUUCCUGAGCCUCCAGUGUUCCCUGUGCUUGGGGAUCCAUAUAUGUCACUUAACCUUAACCUUCACAACACCAGGGCAGCCUCCAUUUUCACAAGUGAAGAAAUGGAGGCCCAGAGUCACUUAGAAGAUGCUCGAAGGUGCACAGCUGCUAAGUGGUGGUGCUGGGAUUUGUCCUCAGGUCCUCAAGAGUCCUGACUCUUAUGUGCUGGCUCCCCACGGAGGCGUGGAGUCUUGUUUGCUGGGCAUUUGACAGAAAUGUUUCUGCUCAUCUUCUGCCACAGUGACUCGGGGAUAGCUGCCCUGAUGCCAAGGCGAUUGUCUUCUGGAAGCAGCCACGCCGUGUGAGGUUCCUCAUCACUGCCCUGCAUCUCCCUGCGAGCUCUCGGGGAUAAUUGCAAAAUCACGUUUGAUUCCAGGGGAGCAGAAAGCAGCAGGAGCCGUGAAUUCUCCAACUCUUAACUGGUCCUCGACUGGAGCCACUUUUCCCUGCCCACCCAUCCCUGUGGCGGAUUCAUUACAGUUAUCCAAAGCCGGUUUUAACUUUGCUCCCCCUGGCUCAGAAGUCUGUCAGUGGGUCCUGAGCGGCUUCACCAUUCAAGUUUAUUCCUAUCAGCCUGGAAUACAAUGCUCUAUCUGGCUCCGCUUGCUUCUCCAAACCUUCUCUCCCAGGUCUCAUUCUGCCUCUCUGUCUAACUAGACAAGUUGGCUUCCUGUCCUGUGCCUGUCUGCUCCCUGCAGCAGGAAUGCCGUUC
rnacentral:lncRNA from 1 species